rnacentral:rRNA from 1 species
AGUGAACGCUGGCGGUAGGCCUAACACAUGCAAGUCGAACGGCAGCACAGUAAGAGCUUGCUCUUACGGGUGGCGAGUGGCGGACGGGUGAGGAAUACAUCGGAAUCUACUUUUUCGUGGGGGAUAACGUAGGGAAACUUACGCUAAUACCUCAUACGACCUACGGGUGAAAGCAGGGGAUCUUCGGACCUUGCGCGAUUGAAUGAGCCGAUGUCGGAUUAGCUAGUUGGCGGGGUAAAGGCCCGCCAAGGCGACGAUCCGUAGCUGGUCUGAGAGGAUGAUCAGCCACACUGGAACUGAGACACGGUCCAGACUCCUACGGGAGGCAGCAGUGGGGAAUAUUGGACAAUGGGCGCAAGCCUGAUCCAGCCAUACCGCGUGGGUGAAGAAGGCCUUCGGGUUGUAAAGCCCUUUUGUUGGGAAAGAAAAGCAGCAGGUUAAUACCCCGCUGUUCUGACGGUACCCAAAGAAUAAGCACCGGCUAACUUCGUG